rnacentral:rRNA from 1 species
AAAUGCACAGGCUGUGAACUCGAUGAGUAGGGCGGGACACGUGACAUCCUGUCUGAAUAUGGGGGGACCAUCCUCCAAGGCUAAAUACUCCUGACUGACCGAUAGUGAACCAGUACCGUGAGGGAAAGGCGAAAAGAACCCCGGCGAGGGGAGUGAAAUAGAACCUGAAACCGUGUACGUACAAGCAGUGGGAGCACCUUCGUGGUGUGACUGCGUACCUUUUGUAUAAUGGGUCAGCGACUUAUAUUUUGUAGCAAGGUUAACCGAAUAGGGGAGCCGUAGGGAAACCGAGUCUUAACUGGGCGUCUAGUUGCAAGGUAUAGACCCGAAACCCGGUGAUCUAGCCAUGGGCAGGUUGAAGGUUGGGUAACACUAACUGGAGGACCGAACCGACUAAUGUUGAAAAAUUAGCGGAUGACUUGUGGCUGGGGGUGAAAGGCCAAUCAAACCGGGAGAUAGCUGGUUCUCCCCGAAAGCUAUUUAGGUAGCGCCUCGUGAACUCAUCUUCGGGGGUAGAGCACUGUUUCGGCUAGGGGGCCAUCCCGGCUUACCAAACCGAUGCAAACUCCGAAUACCGAAGAAUGUUAUCACGGGAGACACACGGCGGGUGCUAACGUCCGUCGUGAAGAGGGAAACAACCCAGACCGCCAGCUAAGGUCCCAAAGUCAUGGUUAAGUGGGAAACGAUGUGGGAAGGCACAGACAGCCAGGAUGUUGGCUUAGAAGCAGCCAUCAUUUAAAGAAAGCGUAAUAGCUCACUGGUCGAGUCGGCCUGCGCGGAAGAUGUAACGGGGCUAAACCAUGCACCGAAGCUGCGGCAGCGACGUUUAGGCGUUGUUGGGUAGGGGAGCGUUCUGUAAGCCGUUGAAGGUGACCUGUGAGGGUUGC